AGAGUUUGAUCCUGGCUCAGAACGAACGCUGGCGGCGUGAAUAAGACAUGCAAGUCGAACGAGAGAAUUGCUAGCUUGCUAAUAAUUCUCUAGUGGCGCACGGGUGAGUAACACGUGAGUAACCUGCCCCCGAGAGCGGGAUAGCCCUGGGAAACUGGGAUUAAUACCGCAUAGUAUCGAAAGAUUAAAGCAGCAAUGCGCUUGGGGAUGGGCUCGCGGCCUAUUAGUUAGUUGGUGAGGUAACGGCUCACCAAGGCGAUGACGGGUAGCCGGUCUGAGAGGAUGUCCGGCCACACUGGAUCUGAGACACGGUCCAGACACCUACGGGUGGCAGCAGUCGAGAAUCAUUCACAAUGGGGGAAACCCUGAUGGUGCGACGCCGCGUGGGGGAAUGAAGGUCUUCGGAUUGUAAACCCCUGUCAUGUGGGAGCAAAUUAAAAAGAUAGUACCACAAGAGGAAGAGACGGCUAACUCUGUGCCAGCAGCCGCGGUAAUACAGAGGUCUCAAGCGUUGUUCGGAAUCACUGGGCGUAAAGCGUGCGUAGGCUGUUUCGUAAGUCGUGUGUGAAAGGCGCGGGCUCAACCCGCGGACGGCACAUGAUACUGCGAGACUAGAGUAAUGGAGGGGGAACCGGAAUUCUCGGUGUAGCAGUGAAAUGCGUAGAUAUCGAGAGGAACACUCGUGGCGAAGGCGGGUUCCUGGACAUUAACUGACGCUGAGGCACGAAGGCCAGGGGAGCGAAAGGGAUUAGAUACCCCUGUAGUCCUGGCAGUAAACGGUGCACGCUUGGUGUGCGGGGAAUCGACCCCCUGCGUGCCGGAGCUAACGCGUUAAGCGUGCCGCCUGGGGAGUACGGUCGCAAGAUUAAAACUCAAAGAAAUUGACGGGGACCCGCACAAGCGGUGGAGUAUGUGGCUUAAUUCGAUGCAACGCGAAGAACCUUACCUGGGCUUGACAUGUAAUGAACAACAUGUGAAAGCAUGCGACUCUUCGGAGGCGUUACACAGGUGCUGCAUGGCCGUCGUCAGCUCGUGUCGUGAGAUGUUUGGUUAAGUCCAGCAACGAGCGCAACCCCUGUUGCCAGUUACCAGCACGUGAAGGUGGGGACUCUGGCGAGACUGCCCAGAUCAACUGGGAGGAAGGUGGGGACGACGUCAGGUCAGUAUGGCCCUUAUGCCCAGGGCUGCACACGUACUACAAUGCCCAGUACAGAGGGGGCCGAAGCCGCGAGGCGGAGGAAAUCCUAAAAACUGGGCCCAGUUCGGACUGUAGGCUGCAACCCGCCUACACGAAGCCGGAAUCGCUAGUAAUGGCGCAUCAGCUACGGCGCCGUGAAUACGUUCCCGGGUCUUGUACACACCGCCCGUCA
rnacentral:rRNA from 1 species